UCCCUAGUGGCUCAGAUGGUAAAGUAUCUGCCUGCAAUGCAGGAGAUCUGGGCUUGAUCCCUAGGUUGGGAA
rnacentral:tRNA from 1 species